rnacentral:lncRNA from 1 species
GAAACUUAGAAAGGAGGAGGUCAUUUCAACCCCUGUACUUGAACCAAGAAGUCUGAACUAACUGCAAUGUAACUGAAGUCACUGCAUGGCCGGUCCUGGAACCACUGGAGAGGUGCUGAGUGGUGAGUGUUUGUCUUGAAAUGGGAUGGCCGCUGCAGAAGCAAAAUGGACUCUUUUUUCUUUCCAACAUGUCUCACCUUAACAAACUUCAUAGGAGGACAGCUGGCAAUGGAUUUGGGAAUGUAGUUUGCAGGCUUCCAGUCUCAGCAGUUCAGAGCCGAGAAGAAAUAAGUGAAAGAGGCCUGCAGUGAAAGGAAAAAAUAUCUGACGAAUAGGUUCUUUGUGGCACAUACUACUUGUUGGUGAACACAGCUGUCUCUCCCCACAAAGGAACAUUUGUGAUGAUAUUACUGUUGACUAUACCAUCAAAUUCCCAUAAGGAAGUAAAAGUUUGGAUCAAGAACAUUUCAACACAAUGAAAAGUUUCUUCAUAUAAAAAAUGGAUUCAGUAGAUAAUCUCAACUACUUUCUUCAUAUUUUAAAAUGUUAUGGCUCUGGACUCAUUGAAAAUGAACUUUUAUAUACCUUUUGUGAAAUGAGAAGUGAUGCACCAUCUCAAGAUUCGUGCUCUGAUUUAAAAGAAGCUACAGAGAAGCUACACUGUAUCACAGGGGACCUAGGCCAAUAAAGGGUCCACAUCUGAGACUGCGUCAUGUGGAAGGUACAACCACCAUGUUCACGGUGGCAAGACCCACUGCAGAAUCUGUUCCUUCUGUGAUUAUCUCAAGAUAGGAAGAUACACGGGUGGAUCAAGCAAUAUUGCAUGCUGCUGAUCACAUAUUUGGCAACAAGGGAAACCAGAAAUAGAGUAUCAUACACUAAUUAAGUCCUAUAAUCCUGGGUCAAGUUACCAUGGUUAUGUUUUCUAAAUAUAUAUUGACACUCAUCUUCCUCCUCCCCAAUUCAUACAUUUUUUUUCUAAUUCUAGUGGCUGUAUUCCAUUAUUUUUCAAUGUGUUACAGAAAAAAAAUUUCCAGUGAGAAAGGAACAGAAUAGCCACAUAUUCAUCACUCUUACUUGCCUGCUUUGAUCAUUCUUGCCAAACUUAAUAACAUCUGUCACUAAAGACGGAAUUUCUUAACUCUGUGAUUUUGGUCAAUGUCUUUGGGAGAAAUAAGGUUUGAUUGUGACAUCCUUCCUAAGAAAUAUUUAUAUAUCUUUAGUCACCUCUAACAUCUGUCACAUCUAAGUUUGUUACAUGUUCUUAUCUCUGAAUUUUUAUUCAAAAUACUUGAUGCUAAGAGUCUUUAUUUGACCUGUAGCUCCCAAUUUAGAUAGACUUUUGCAAAUGAGACAAGCCUGCACUGUACCAGUAAUCUUUAUUUUUUGUGUGAUAAAGAAUAACUGAAAUUUAGAGCCAAGAGUUACAUCUUUUUGUUACAUAAUAAUCUUUGAACACAUCUUUCACUCAACUCUUUUCC